GGCGGAGGAGGGGGGGGGGAGAGGGGGCUGAAAGAGCCUUUCACACCUUCGGGUAGAAGACCGGUUCUGGAGAGAAAGGGCUGAGGACUGGGAGGCUGCGGCGGCUGCUGGCUCCUACAGCCGCUAGCUCCAGAGGAGGCGCGGCCAGAGUCGCGGGGACGUUGCCACCAAGAGCGGGGAAGGUGCGGAGACCCCGGACCGCGCGCAAGAGAAAACGCGGCGGCCGCACAAGCUGUCACCUCCAACCUCUCCCCUCGCGGCUGCCUCUGCCAGAAGCCAGAGCCGGACUCACUGACAAGCCGCAGAGAGAAAGACACUGAGAGGGAGAUGAUUAUUAGUUGCGUUGAGUCAUCAGGCAAAAAUCCACCUCCGGCCCAAUGUCCACGAACUAAGAAGAAUUGAUGAUAUUAGGACUUGAGGACUUCUGGAAAAAAAUGCAAAUCGUUUAGUGGGGAUCUUUUUUGUCUGAUUCGUCACUAUUAUUAUAUCUGAUGAUGCGAUGGUUGGAACGAUUCUAUCCUGUCAUUAAUUAGCUAUUUUAUAAAAAUCACUGUCGGAAAAUCGUCAUUUGCGUUUUGCUAAGGAUCUCUUCGCUAACCUCACUGGCGUGUGUCAACAGUAUAAUUAUGAACUUCAGCUACAACUCUUAUAAACAACACGGCAGUAUUGUUUAAUCGGUUAAUAUUUUAUAAAGUGUACAUAUUUUAUUAUGCUUUGAGGGGAACUAUUGAUACUAAGUUAUUUUUAAAAAGAGAAAGUCUAUUUAAAUAAAGCAUACAAUUAAGUUCAAUUAAAUGUGCACUGUGGCUAGAUUCUACACCCUUUCAAAUUCAUUAUUUCUUUUGUCUAUUUUUGAUAAUGUAAAGAAAAUCUACCAUUUGGAACAAGUAAUUCUAAAUUAUUUAAAAUUACAUUUUAAAAAUUAAACAAAUUACAUUUAAUAUACAUGACAAUGUGUAAUUUGAUGUCAUUACCAAAAGUGUACUUUGAAUGUUGGCAGAUUUAUUUUUAGUAGAGCAUUUUCAAAUUUCUCUCGUUUCAUAAAAGGAGAAUUCUAGAAAGUUUUGCCAUGCAUACCCAGUGUGAAUUUUUCCCUGUAGUUUUGACCCGGAUAAAGGCCUUUUCUGUUUCAAGUGACAUGUUUUUCCCAAUCCAGUUUUGUUAACUUCAUUUCAGCUAAAGCAAAUAUUUUCAAACACUUCUAAUUGCUACAGUAAUUUAUAUUUGAAAUAACACUUUUAAAACAUUUGUCAUUUUCAUUUUUAAAAACAGUGAAUAAAUAUAUUUGAUGAUGAUUCAAAAAA
rnacentral:lncRNA from 1 species